rnacentral:misc_RNA from 1 species
GAUGAAGAACGCAGCGAAAUGCGAUACGUAAUGUGAAUUGCAGAAUUCAGUGAAUCAUCGAAUCUUUGAACGCAUAUUGCGCUCUCUGGUAUUCCGGAGAGCAUGCUUGUUUGAGUAUCAGUAAACACCUCAACUCCCCUUUCUUUUUUUGAAAUGGGAGCUAGACUUGAGUGAUCCCAACGCUUUUCUCACCGAAAAGUGGCGGGUUACUUGAAAUGCAGGUGCAGCUGGACUUUUCUCUGAGCUAAAAGCAUAUCUAUUUAGUCUGCCUAAAAAACAGAUUAUUACCUUUGCUGCAGCUAACAUAAAGGAGAUUAGUUCUUGUGCUGACUGAUGCAGGAUUCACAGAGACAGCUUCGGCUGGCCUUUGUAAACUCGAUCUCAAAUCAAGUAAGACUACCCGCUGAACUUAAGCAUAUCAAUAAGCGGAGGA